CAUAGCCGCGGUAAUACAGAGGGUGCGAGCGUUAAUCGGAUUUACUGGGCGUAAAGCGUGCGUAGGCGGCUUCUUAAGUCGGAUGUGAAAUCCCUGAGCUUAACUUAGGAAUUGCAUUCGAUACUGGGAAGCUAGAGUAUGGGAGAGGAUGGUAGAAUUCAAGGUGUAGCGGUGAAAUGCGUAGAGAUCUGGAGGAAUACCGAUGGCGAAGGCAGCCAUCUGGCCUAAUACUGACGCUGAGGUACGAAAGCAUGGGGAGCAAACAGGAUUAGAUACCCCGGUAGUCCCUGUCUCUAUACAC
rnacentral:rRNA from 1 species